rnacentral:lncRNA from 1 species
UGUAUUUUUCCUUGGGUGUCGCCCUUGGUGAGGACGUCUCGAUCUAUUAAGGAAGGGAAGAUGAAUCGGCAUUUAAAUCGGAAUCCAUCGAAAUUUGAGUUCAAAUGAGGGUUUUGGCUUUAAAUGAAUUAAAGAAGCAUUUCGAGACACCGUCGGCGCUUGUAGCCGAGUGGUACCCGGGAAGAAGCGAAAGGUCCGAAGUCGGGAGUUCGAAUCCCCGACGCGGCAGUUAGCCGCUUUGUGGAAAAAUAAGAAGAAAAAAAAAAA